CCUACGGGCGGCAGCAGUGGGGAAUAUUGGACAAUGGGCGAAAGCCUGAUCCAGCCAUGCCGCGUGUGUGAAGAAGGCCUUCGGGUUGUAAAGCACUUUCAGCGGGGAAGAAACCCUUGGGGCUAAUACCCUCGAGGAAGGACAUCACCCACAGAAGAAGCACCGGCUAACUCCGUGCCAGCAGCCGCGGUAAUACGGAGGGUGCGAGCGUUAAUCGGAAUUACUGGGCGUAAAGCGCGCGUAGGCGGUCUGAUAAGCCGGUUGUGAAAGCCCCGGGCUCAACCUGGGAACGGCAUCCGGAACUGUCAGGCUAGAGUGCAGGAGAGGAAGGUAGAAUUCCCGGUGUAGCGGUGAAAUGCGUAGAGAUCGGGAGGAAUACCAGUGGCGAAGGCGGCCUUCUGGACCGACACUGACGCUGAGGUGCGAAAGCGUGGGGAGCAAACAGGAUUAGAUACCCGUGUAGUC
rnacentral:rRNA from 1 species